rnacentral:rRNA from 1 species
AUGAGACUAGCGGCCGUCAUUGACAAGAUUAUCUCGCCUGCUCAAACGGCCUUUCAGCGCGGGAGAUGCAUCCAUGACAGCUACCUUUACGUGCAGAAUUCUGUCCGACCUCUUCAUAGGAACAAAACCCCAACACUUCUUCUUAAGCUAGAUAUAGCUAGGGCCUUCGAUAGCAUAUCUUGGGAAUACCUAUUAGAAUUGCUACAGAGGCUGGGUUUCUCGGCCAGAUGGAGGGAUUGGAUCGCCCUGCUGCUAUCCUCCUCCACCUCGUCCUGCAUUCUCAACGGCGAUCCAGGAGACAUUGUCAUCCAUCUUCGUGGGAUCCGACAAGGGGAUCCCCUAUCACCGCUUCUCUUCAUCCUCUGCAUAGAUCCACUCCAUCGCCUCCUAGAUGCGGCCACUAGGGUGGGCGUGCUGAAUCCCAUCCCGGGCGCGGCGGCGAGGAUGCGCACGAGCUUAUAUGCUGACGACGCUGUCAUCUUCAUCAACCCUGCACGUCAGGAAGUAGAUAGUCUUGUUGAGCUGCUACGGUUCUUCGGCGACGCUACGGGACUCCGGGUGAACCUUUCAAAAUCUCUCGCGGCUCCCAUUAGGUGCGACGACAUAGACAUGGCUGAUGUUCUUCAAAACUUUGGUGGCAUUACCACGGCGUUCCCGAUUAGAUAUCUCGGCCUCCCAGUCACGAUGGGGCCAUUCUGGACAGGAUCCGGGCUCGCCUUGCCGGCUGGAAAGGCAGAUUAA